AUUGAACGCUGGCGGCAGGCUUAACACAUGCGAGUCGAGCGGGGGAAGGUAGCUUGCUACCGGACCUAGCGGCGGACGGGUGAGUAAUGCUUAGGAAUCUGCCUAUUAGUGGGGGACAACAUCUCGAAAGGGAUGCUAAUACCGCAUACGUCCUACGGGAGAAAGCAGGGGAUCUUCGGACCUUGCGCUAAUAGAUGAGCCUAAGUCAGAUUAGCUAGUUGGUGGGGUAAAGGCCUACCAAGGCGACGAUCUGUAGCGGGUCUGAGAGGAUGAUCCGCCACCAUGGGACUGAGACACGGCCCAGACGCCUACGGGAGGCAGCAGUGGGGAAUAUUGGACAAUGGGGGGAACCCUGAUCCAGCCAUGCCGCGUGUGUGAAGAAGGCCUUAUGGUUGUAAAGCACUUUAAGCGAGGAGGAGGCUACUUUAGUUAAUACCUAGAGAUAGUGGACGUUACUCGCAGAAUAAGCACCGGCUAACUCUGUGCCAGCAGCCGCCGUAA
rnacentral:rRNA from 1 species